rnacentral:rRNA from 1 species
UACAGAGGGUGCAAGCGUUGUCCGGAAUCAUUGGGCGUAAAGCGCGUGUAGGCGGCCCGGUAAGUCCGCUGUGAAAGUCGGGGGCUCAACCCUCGAAUGCCGGUGGAUACUGUCGGGCUAGAGUGCGGAAGAGGCGAGUGGAAUUCCUGGUGCAGCGGUGAAAUGCGCAGAUAUCAGGAGGAACACCAAUUGCGAAGGCAGCUCGCUGGGACGUGACUGACGCUGAGACGCGAAAGCGUGGGGAGCAAACAGG